CUCAGAACGAACGCUGGCGGCAGGCUUAACACAUGCAAGUCGAACGCUGUAGCAAUACAGAGUGGCAGACGGGUGAGUAACGCGUGGGAACGUGCCCUUCGGUUCGGAAUAACUCAGGGAAACUUGAGCUAAUACCGGAUACGUGCGAGAGCAGAAAGAUUUAUCGCCGAAGGAUCGGCCCGCGUCCGAUUAGCUAGUUGGUGAGGUAAUGGCUCACCAAGGCGACGAUCGGUAGCUGGUCUGAGAGGAUGAUCAGCCACACUGGGACUGAGACACGGCCCAGACUCCUACGGGAGGCAGCAGUGGGGAAUAUUGGACAAUGGGCGAAAGCCUGAUCCAGCCAUGCCGCGUGAGUGAUGAAGGCCCUAGGGUUGUAAAGCUCUUUCGCCAGGGACGAUAAUGACGGUACCUGGAUAAGAAGCCCCGGCUAACUUCGUGCCAGCAGCCGCGGUAAUACGAAGGGGGCUAGCGUUGUUCGGAUUUACUGGGCGUAAAGCGCACGUAGGCGGAUCUUUAAGUCAGGGGUGAAAUCCCGGGGCUCAACCUCGGAACUGCCUUUGAUACUGGAGGUCUCGAGUCCGGGAGAGGUGAGUGGAACUUCCGGUGUAGCGGUGAAAUGCGUAGAUAUCGGAAGGAACACCUGUGGCGAAAGCGGCUCACUGGACCACAGCUGACGCUGAUGCACGAAAGCUAGGGGAGCAAACAGGAUUAGAUACCCUGGUAGUCCUAGCCCUAAACCAUGAUUGCUUGGUGUGGGGUACCCAAUCCCGCCGUGCCGUAGCUAACGCGUUAAGCAAUCCGCCUGGGGAGUACGGUCGCAAGGCUGAA
rnacentral:rRNA from 1 species